GACGAACGCUGGCGGCGUGCUUAACACAUGCAAGUCGAACGGAAAGACCCUGCUUUUGUGGGGUGCUCGAGUGGCGAACGGGUGAGUAACACGUGAGUAACCUGCCCUUGACUUUGGUAUAACUUCAGGAAACUGGGGCUAAUACCGGAUAGGAGCUCCUGCUGCAUGGUGGGGGUUGUAAAGUUUCGGCGGUUGGGGAUGGACUCGCGGCUUAUCAGCUUGUUGGUGGGGUAGUGGCUUACCAAGGCUUUGACGGGUAGCCGGCCUGAGAGGGUGACCGGAAAAAGUGGGACUGAGAGACGGAACAGAAUCAUACGGGAGGCAGCAGUGGGGAAUAGUGCAAAAUGGGAGGAAGCAUGAUGCAGCAACGCAGCGUGCGGGAUGAAGGACUUCGGGUUGUAAACCGAAUUAGAAUGUGACGAAGCGUGAGUGAAGGUAAUGGGUAAAGAAGCACCGGAUAACUAAGUG
rnacentral:rRNA from 1 species